ACGGAUGUUCCAGAUGUUCAGAAGCGACUGAUUAAAUCGUCGAUUUUUACACAACGAAAAACAUUUUAACUGGUUAAGAACAUGGAAUUACAUCAUUCAAGAGGAAUAAGUACCAAGAAGUUUCGCUUCAAGACAUAUACGUAAAGUAUAAACAGCGAGCCAAAAGACUAAAAUGAUGUGGUUAGCAACACGGGAGGACAGAAUAAGAAAGGCUCCUGAGCCUGCUCCUCAGCCGCGCAAGAAGUCAUUGAAGAAUGGAACUCAAAGAAUGAUGCGAGAAAAUCAGCAACCAAGGAAAGAACUUUCCGGGAACUUUAGAAAGUUUUAUUUUUAGAACGCAUCAUCACGGCACCUAUGACAGCCAAGAAGCUAGUGAAGAAACUAAGGAACAGAUCAACGCUAAAUGAUGGUAACUCGUCUAUAGUUGAUUUCCAUGGUACUGUGCAGACCCAGCUACAUUGCACAAGAUUACUUGGGUCUUGAGAGAAAGUGUAGACGUAGAUAUUGGUGAAACAUGAAACAUAUAGACAUAAACUAAUAUAGCACACGAGGUGUUAUAGCUCACGUGAUAGUUUUGUCCAAUGGCAGAAUUCUGACCACGUUUUGGUGCACUGGAGACUGGGUCUAUUAUGGUACACUGGGAAGAGGUGGAACGCUACAUCAGGGUACAUUUAGUCCUAUAAAGCGAAAGUUGAGCAUUAAAAACAGACGAUUGGACUAUCAUGAAAAAUAAUCCAGUUUCGCCUCAAGGAGCUGUUUAUACAGCCAAAGGACAUAGGCUUAUGCAGGAGACAAAUCAACCAGCCUAUCAAACUCCUGUUGUGCGAACAGAUAGAGGCUACAGACUUAUGCAAGAUACUUGUCCAGCUUCAGAAAUCGCUUACAAUAAACUGGGCCGUAUGCAACAAUUUCUCAUGGAAAGAUCACUGAUGACAGUUCUCAAUGCCAAUUGUAUAUCUGAUAGUGUUGACUAAAGUGAUCAUCGAUCUAAUAAAAAGUGAUCAUCGAUCUAAUAAAAGACAUUCAAGAUGAAAAGGAUUGUACUUGUUCUUUGGCUGAACUUUUGGAUAAAGAAGCAAGACUCAAGAUUUCGAGUCAUUUCAAGUUUGUUUAUAACAAGUGCACAGAAGCUAUUUAUGAUAGUAAUAUAAUACAGUAGCAUGUAUAGCUUAUAUUAUAUAGUUUUAAUAAAGUAAAUUAAUAAAGUAAAUUAUACUUAGA